UCCGUUGUCACCGCGCUCGGCUACUUCCUGGUUGGGGAUUAGUAGUGAAGAGGUGGUGGGAAAUAGCAGAUCAGUUUUUAGCAGCUUCCAUUCAUUUACAGCCGGCCUAUGAAUAAUCUCAGCGGAUAUUCGCAGCCUUAUGUCAGAUAACGUCCAGAGUGCACCAUGCCGAGCACCCUGCUGUGGGCUGUAGAUGUGUAUGGGAGGGUUUACAGCCUGUCGACAGCAGGUCAGCAGUGGGAACAGUGCCGUGAUGCUCACCUGGAGUUCAAACGCGUCACAGCUGCGCUCCAGUGCUGCUGGGGCAUCGCCUGUGAUCAUAACGUUUACCUGUGUGUCCACGCCAGCGAGGUACCGAUUCGCUUCCGGGAAGAGACUUAUGAAAAUCAGCGAUGGAACCCGGUGGAUGGUUUCUCAGACCGCCUGUUGCCUAGCGAUCGCUGGCAGUGGAGUGAUGUGACGGGGCUGCAGCAUCAGCCCCUGGACGGUUUCCAGGUUCCAUCCGAGAACUGGGAGUGGGAGGCUGACUGGUACGUGGACGAGAACUUUGGAGGGGAGCCCACGGAGAAAGGAGGUUGGACAUAUGCUAUUGAUUUUCCUGCCACUUACACUAAAGACAAGAAGUGGAACUCUUGUGUGCGACGUCGGCGAUGGGUGCGCUACCGGAGGUACAAGUCACAAGACACCUGGGCUAAGAUCCCCUCAGAGCAGACGGGUUCCCUGCCAGACCCAUUUAAUGAUAUAAGCUGUGGUGGUUGGGAGAUCACAGAGGAGCCCAGGGGGCAGAUUUCUCUUUGGGCUGUCUCUCUGCAGGGGAGGGUGUGGUUCCGGGAUGGCAUCAACCACUUUAACCCUGAAGGCUCGGUGUGGGAGGAGGUUCCUACUCCAGGUGAGGUGGUGCAGAUCAGUUGUGGGCCAGCUGAUCUUCUCUGGGGGGUCCUGUGGGAGGGCCAGUUCCUGGUCCGAGAGGGCAUUAGCAGAGAUUGCCCUAAAGGUACUACAUGGGUAGUAGUUGAAUCACCAAACCCAGAAGUCGGAGCUAUACAUGUAGCAGUGGGCGUCAAUGUGGUGUGGGCUGUGACAAAAGAUCAUAAAGUCUGGUUUAGACGUGGUGUGAAUUCUCACAAUCCAUGUGGCUCAGGCUGGAUUGGGAUGGUUGGGGAGAUGGUGAUGAUUAACGUGGGCCUUAAUGACCAGGUUUGGGGCAUUAGCAGUGAGGACCGGGCGGUGCAUUUCCGCCAGGGUGUGACGGUCAGUGAGCUGAGUGGGAAAACCUGGGUACCUGUGUCUGUGCCCAGAGACUCUGAGCGCUCUCACUCCAGCGCCAGUGCUAGCAGUCUGCAGAGUGCCGGAUGUUUUUUUGGAGGCGAGGUCCGUCUGCAGUCACAGGCCUCCGUCCUGAGUGAUGUGGACUGUGAAACAGAGAAAGCAGCAGCAGAAAACGUGCCGUCCUCCUCCGAGGUCGAUGAGGUCCCUAAAAGACGAAUCCCCAAAGUGACCAGCGACAGCUUCAUCUCAGAGCUGGUGUCUGAUAGAGAAGGUCAGAUUGGGCAGCGCGGCCUCACUCAGGCCGCAUCCAUUCCCGAGGAGGAGUGUGCAGAGGGAGAUACAGAGGGAAAGGAAAAGGCUGCUACAAAUGUGCUGCUUCCCUCUAGCCAAUCAGGACAUUCGGACCACCAGUGGAGCAACGUGGACCUGGAGGAGGCUCAGACACACUUGACUGUGGGAACCGGUGGGGAUGCUGCUGAUACUUGCAGCUUGUCAUCUGUAGCUACCUACAACCUGGGCAUGGAGGAGCCAUACGGGCCUGACGAUCACCCGUUGUGGGCCUGGGUUAGUGGAGGAGGCUGCUAUAUUGACUCCCACUCCCAACUUCCCUGGUUCAACUCCACAGCUCUGGCCACCUCUAUGCAGGCCAUGUCACUCUCCAUCACACCCGCACAGACCGCAGCCUGGCGCAAGCAGAUCUUGGAACAGCUCAGCGAGAGGUCCAAGCGAGAGAUGGAAAACUUUAAACAUUAUGAACAGGCCAUUGAACAGUCUGUUUGGGUGAAAAAGGGCUCCAUGCAGUGGUGGAGGGACUGGAAGCCUCACAAAUGGCUGGAUGUGCAGUUUGCACUGGAGCAAUUCUCAGGAGCUGAGGGCAACAAGGAUGGCAUCCUGUUCAUAUACUAUACCUUUAAUGAUGAAAAGAAGUACCUACAUGCAUUCAUUAAUGAAGUCACCAUCAUGGUACCGGUACUGAACGACUCCAAGCACACGUUUGCUAUCUACACACCGGAGAGGACCAAGCAGAGGUGGCCUAUCCGUCUUGCUGCUGCCACUGAGCUGGAGAUGCAUGACUGGCUGGCCUUGCUCAGCGUUUCCUGCUGUGAUUCCCGUGGCAUCCAGGGUCCACCUUCAAAGCAGGCUAUCUGGUCUGUUACCUGCAAAGGAGACAUUUUUGUCAGUGAGCCCACACCAGGGCUGGAGGCCUCACCUUACCCCACACCCUGUGACCAAAUGUUUUGGCGUCAGGUUGGAGGGCACCUGAGAAUUGUGGAGUGUAAUAGUCUAGGAGUGGUGUGGGGAAUCGGCUACGACCACACAGCAUGGGUCCACACAGGCGGCUACGGGGGUGGCAUCUUUCAGGGACUUGCCAGCAGCACAGAUAACAUCUACACGCAGUCUGAUGUGAAGAAUGUGUAUAUUUAUGAGAACCAGCGCUGGAAUCCUGUGACUGGCUACACAAACAGGGGGCUCCCUACAGAUCGCUACAUGUGGAGUGAUGCUUCAGGCCUCCAAGAGUGUACCAAAGCCAACACUAAACCCCCCUCUCCUCACUGGACAUGGGUGUCAGACUGGGUUAUCGACUAUAGUGUAGUUGGAGGAACAGACAGAGAGGGCUGGCAGUAUGCAGCUGAUUUUCCUGCGUCAUACCACGGUCAUAAAACCUUGAAGGACUUUGUCCGUCGCAGGCGCUGGGCCAGGAAGUGUAAACUCACAACAACCGGGCCAUGGCAGGAAGUCCCACCCAUCCCUCUGAGUGAUGUUACAAUUUUGCCAUGUAGCCCAAAGACCAUAGUGGAGCAGGUGCCUUUGUGGGCCAUCAGCAAUAAAGGAGACGUGCUUUGCCGUUUAGGGGUCUCCUCACUCACACCUGCUGGAACAUCAUGGCUCCAUGUAGGAACGGACCAGCCUUUCAAGUCCAUCUGCAUAGGAGGGGUGUAUCAGGUGUGGGCUAUUGCCAGAGAUGGCUCAGCAUUCUACAGGGGAGCUGUGUCAUCCCAAAACCCUGCAGGAGACUGCUGGUACCAUAUUCCCUCUCCGGCUUCACAGAAGCUCAAACAGGUGUCAGUAGGCCGGACAUCAGUCUAUGCAGUGGAUGAAAACGGAAACCUGUGGUAUCGACAUGGUGUGACACCCAGUUACCCUCAGGGUUCAUCAUGGGAGCACAUCUCAAAUAACGUUCGCAAAGUGUCUGUGGGGCCACUGGACCAGGUAUGUGCAGUUACAUAGUUGCUGCUUUGUGUCACUGAACAGAAAAUCAGUUGGAUAGUGUGUAUUUUAGAACACUUAUAAAGAUGCAUGAUGCGUGGUGUUGUACUCCCAACCCAGUGUUAUCACCCUUCAAAAGGCCAGGGGGUCACCAUGACCCUGACUCACAGUCCAAACUGGCGUCAUUGGUCAUCGGUUCACCGAAUUAGGGAAAUGACUGACAUGGCAGAACAGUAGGUUAACCUGCGUUCACAGAUAUUACAUAGCUACUACUGAAUAACUGUGCAAUACCAUAGAUAACAGUAGCAGAUUACUAAAUACAAAUAUGCAAGCUUGGCUUUGUCACAGUUUGACAUCAGCAGCCUGUACGUAUCUGAGCCAGUUGAGAGUCGUAAACGUCCAGAUUUAGUCCCCUUUUGCUGUCCUAAUAACCUCCAUUCAUCUGCAAAGACUUUCCACCAGAUUUUGGAGCGUGGCUUGUGGGGAUUUGUGUUCAUUCAACCAUAGAGUAUUAGUUAGAUCAAGGCACUGAUGUCUUGUGUGGAGGUCUAGUGUUUAAAGCUUUUCAUUGGGGUUGAGCUCAGGGCUUUGUGCAGAACACUCAAGUUCUUCCAAUUCCAACCUUGGCAUGCCAUGUGUUUAAGGACAUCAUUUUGUGUACAGAGGCAUUGUCAUGCUAGAAUGUUUGUGCCUCUUAGUUUCCAUUUCAGUGGAACUUGUAAUGCUACAGCAUACAGAGCCAUUCUAUAGAAUUGUAUGCUUCCAACUUUAGCUUGAGGAAGAACCACAUUUUGGUGUGAUGGUCAGCUGUUUAGAACUUUUUUGGCAAUAUAGUUUAUAACAGUCAAGGUUUUGUUCAAUUUUAAAAAGUUUCAAUUCAAUGAUAAUUUAUAUAUCAUAUCUGGAAUCUGUUUCCUGAAAAUGUUUUACAGACAUAAACAUGCAUGCUGUAUAUUUGGGUUGCAAAAGAUCUAUUAAAGAAAAUGUCACUUACCAGCCAAAGCAGUAACUAGAAACAAUCCUCUCUGGUGGCUCAAGUGGUUAAGGCUCUGGAAGGUUGGGGUUCAAGCCCCAGCACCACCAAGCUCCACUGUUGGGCAAUUAAGCAAGGCCCUUAACCCUCUCUGCUCCAGGGGCGCUGUAUCAUAGCUGCCCCUGUGCUCUGACCCCAACUUCCUCAGCUGGGAUAUGCAAAGAAAAGAAUUCCACUGUGCUAUAAUGUAUGUGUGGAGAUCAUAAAGGCUUCUUGCCCCUCUUUUCUUUCUCUCUUGAAAUGAAUAAGGUAAAUAUACUGACACUAGAGACUCCUUUAUAAAAUGUAUAAAAUGUAAAUCUUUUGUAUUAUUCAAAACUACAGUCUGAGCCAUAGAAUUUAACGUCUAUAUAUUCUCUCUAAUAUUGUUCAAAAGAAACAGCUGUCUAAGAAGGGUUAUGCAUUUAAAAAUCAUGUUUUUAGUUCAGUAGCACUUGUAUAGCCAGGUGUCCCUGUUUUCAGGUGUGGAUCAUUGCUGAUAAGGUCCAGGGCAGCCACAGUCUGAGCUGUGGUACCGUAUGCCGCAGGCUCGGUGUGCAGCCCCUGGAGCCUAAAGGACAGUCAUGGGACUAUGGUAUCGGGGGUGGUUGGGACCACAUCUCGGUGAGAGG